UACGUAGGGGGCUAGCGUUGUCCGGAAUCAUUGGGCGUAAAGAGCGCGUAGGCGGCCAGAUAAGUCCGGUGUGAAAGUCAAAGGCUCAACCUUUGAAUGCCGCUGGAAACUGUCUGGCUAGAGUCCGGAAGGGGCGAGUGGAAUUCCUGGUGUAGCGGUGAAAUGCGCAGAUAUCAGGAGGAACACCAAUGGCGAAGGCAGCUCGCUGGAACGGUACUGACGCUGAGGAGCGAAAGCAUGGGGAGCAAACAGG
rnacentral:rRNA from 1 species